CGUAGGGUCCGAGCGUUGUCCGGAAUUAUUGGGCGUAAAGAGCUCGUAGGCGGUUUGUCUCGUCUGCUGUCGAAAUCCCGAGGCUCAACCUCGGGUCUGCAGUGGGUACGGGCAGACUGGAGUGCGGUAGGGGAGAAUGGAAUUCCUGGUGUAGCGGUGGAAUGCGCAGAUAUCAGGAGGAACACCGAUGGCGAAGGCAGUUCUCUGGGCCGUAACUGACGCUGAGGAGCGAAAGCGUGGGGAGCGAACAGGAUUAGAUACCCUGGUAGUCCACGCCGUAAACGUUGGGCGCUAGAUGUGGGGACCUUUCCACGGUUUCCGUGUCGUAGCUAACGCAUUAAGCGCCCCGCCUGGGGAGUACGGCCGCAAGGCUA
rnacentral:rRNA from 1 species